rnacentral:lncRNA from 1 species
AUGGACUCUGCAGACAAGUUCAACCUCGCGGCUCCAGGGCUCGCAGAACCCCGAGGCGGAGACUUCCUGCGCCUCCCCGCUAGGGAGCGGAGCGGGGCGCGGCGCCAGGCCCCCGCCCCCGCCCCGGCCCCGCCCAGCGCGCCCCCUCCCCGCCCUCCCCCUCCCUCCCCUCCCCUCCCCGCCCUCCCCCUCCCCCGUGACGUGCCGCAGCCGGCCGGGAUCAUGCGCACUGGCGCCCCGCGCCCCGCACGGCUGCUCCGCCUCGGCGCCUGUCAUUCUCCGCGGCGCGGCGGCGAGUGCGGACUGCGGUGCUGCGCGCGCGAUGUGACCGGCCGCCCGGGAGCCCCCCGGAGGCUCUGCGGGGCACGGCGCCUCGGCUCUCCCGGUGCCGCGGUCCUCGCCGAGCGGCCGUUCGCUCGGAGCCGGAGACACGCGCCGGGGGCUCGGAGCGCCGCGCUCCGGGGUCGGCGGCGCCUGCAGCUCCGGGUCCGCGCGGCCGGUGCCGCCGCAGCCGCCGCGCCCUGGCCAGUGCCCCCGGCCCCGGGCGCGGCGGAGCGAGGCGGCUGGUGCAGAGCGGCGGCGCCUAGCCGUGCAGCCGAGCAGCCGAGCAGCCAAGCAGCCGUGCAGCCGAGCAGCCGUGCAGCCGAGCAGCCGAGCAGCCGUGCAGCCGAGCAGCCGUGCAGCCGAGCAGCCGAGCAGCCGUGCAGCCGUGCAGCCGUGCAGCCGAGCAGCCGUGCAGCCGAGCAGCCGAGCAGCCGUGCAGCCGCCCGGGCGGUGCGGGGCCAGCGGGGUUGCGCGCAGCCGAGCGCGGUCCCCCCGCCCCACCCCGGAGGGCUCCCGGUCUCCGCGUCCCGAAAACACGAGGUCAUUCUCUUAUUUCAGCUGUUGGGUGUAACAGAGCUGGGAAAGAACAAUUUCAAGGCGGAGCCGUUGCCCCAGGCCAACACAAACAACACAGCCAGUUCUGCAGAACUUUAA